CAAGUCGUACGGUAAGCUUCGGCUUAUAGUGGCGAAAGGGAGAGUAACGCGUGGUUACAUGCCCUCGGGACCGGGAUAGCGGCGGGAAACUGCCGGUAAUACCGGAUAAUAUCUUUGGAUCAAAGGUGUGAUUCCGCCCGAGGAUUGGACCGCGUUCUAUUAGCUUGUUGGCGGGGUAAUGGCCCACCAAGGCGACGAUGGAUACCGGGUGUGAGAGCAUGGCCCGGCUCACUGGGACUGAGACACUGCCCAGACACCUACGGGUGGCUGCAGUCGAGAAUCUUCGGCAAUGGGGGCAACCCUGACCGAGCGACGCCGCGUGCGGGACGAAGGCCUUCGGGUUGUAAACCGCUGUCAGUUGGGAGGAAGUGCCGGGGGGUUCUCCCCUCGGUUUGACCGAUCUUCAGAGGAAGGACGGGCUAAGUUCGCGCCAGCAGCCGCGGUAAGACGAACCGUCCAAACGUUAUUCGGUAUCACUGGGCUUAAAGCGUGCGUAGGCGGCCUGGUAGGUGAGGUGUGAAAGCCCACGGCUCAACCGUGGAAUUGCGCUUCAAACCACCAGGCUGGAGGAUGGCAGGGGUGAUGGGAACUGAUGGUGGAGCGGUGAAAUGCGUUGAUAUCAUCAGGAACACCGGUGGCGAAGGCGCAUCACUGGGCCAUUUCUGACGCUGAGGCACGAAAGCUAGGGUAGCGAACGGGAUUAGAUACCCCGGUAGUCCUAGCUGUAAACGAUGAGCACUGGGUUGAGGGGACCUCCACAUCUUCUCGGCCGUAGCGAAAGCGUUAAGUGCUCCGCCUGGGGAGUAUGGCCGCAAGGCUGAAACUCAAAGGAAUUGACGG
rnacentral:rRNA from 1 species